UGUACAACCUCCCCGAGCUGCGGCCGCCGGCGACGUCCCCGAUCCGCUGCUGUCGGAGACAACUCCGUCCCUCUUCCGUCAGCCACCUCCCCAACUUGCAGCUGCCCGGUGAGGUCCCUCACUACGUACUCUGCUUGCACUUGCCAUUUCAUCUUCAGAUUUGGGUAGCCUGUGUGAUGAUAACAGCAUUGCUUGUCCCCGCAUAUUUGUACUAGACAAAAAAGUUUCUGGAACACAUGUCCUGAUUCAAGAAAAUGUGUGAAUUGUCAAUGGUUAAGAAAGUGAUGAUCUAUAUGCAUGGUCCCAUGCGUUGUUCUUUUGUGUGCAUACUAAUAAGCAAAUAGUAAUUCAGCGCCGGUGUUGUCAUUACAUUCGAAUGCGUACUUCUCCUCUCUAUUUCCUCUGCCUGAAACCUCACUAUCGCUGGAGUUGAUUCAGAUCUGCGCGCGCGCGUGUGUGUGUCCACUGGGAAUAGGGAGGUGAGCGGGCUCGUGUUGGUCCCGACGGUGCAUUUGCAUCUGAGGGAUAUGAGUGUACAUGUUUUCUACGUAGUGAUCUUGAAGGAGGAGCCAAGUAGGCAAUAUAUAGGUAGUGAUCUUGCAGUUUGGUGGGUUUACUUUUAUAUAAUAAAAUAGAUACUCGAUUUCAUUCCAAGGAAGAUAAUAAUAAGGCGUUCCUCCUGUUCUUGCUACUGAAUACCUCCUAUGCAUGUCAACCUAAAUACUGACUUUUUUUACAUCAAUGGUCUUUUUUCUCACUUGAUAGCGUCUCUGAAGAAAAAAAAAAUCUCUGUGCUGUUCACAGUUGCUGAAUCGAUGUGCUUACCUAGUUUUACCAUCUCACUUGUUUCGAAGCAAGCAGACAAGCAGUGCUAAUAUAGGAGCACGGAAAAUGCAGAACUCUUGCGUCUUGUAGAAACCUGGUUAUCUUUAAUUUCUUUUGAUUUGAAGCAUAUACAUGUAAGCUUGUAUGAUACAAAGUUAACACAAUUGGAUACUACUCCCUCCGUCCAUAAAAGGAUGUCGGAGAUGUUUCUAAAUUUGGAUGUAUCAUCUAAAUUUAGACAAACUUGCGACAUCCUUUAUGGGCAGAUGUAGUAUUAUCUUUGUAUGAUCGUAGUUUUAGUACUAUCUCUCACUUGUUUCAAAGCAAACAAAUAACUCAUGGUGUAAUGAACUAAUGAUGAUGAGUGCGAGUACAAGGCUUAGAAAGUUAGAAUUUGGUCUGCAACCUUUACCUUCUUUUGUUUUGAUAUAUAUCCGUGUAGGCUCAUAUGAUUUACAUCUAACAGCUUUUCUUUUGCGUCUGUUUUAAUAUACCAUAAAAGAAAAUUUGUGAUGUUUACAAAUUUCUGAAGGUCUUUCUAGUUUUGAAAUUUUGAUGAAUAUUGUCAACUAACACUUUCUAUCGCGGGACUUGGCGAAGGAACACAUUGAGGACUUUGCUUUGUUAGAUCCAUCAUCAUCCACUAACUCCAUGAAAGAUCCUGCUGAAAGUUCAAACUGAACAAAGCUUUGUACCAUGGGUGCUGAGAAGCAAGAGACCAAUAGUGGUACAAGACAGUGUUGCUGCUUCCUCUGUUGGUCAAAACACGUGGCCAGCUCGGUCAGCGGCGUCUAGAAUGUGAAGUGCUGCUGCUAGCCGCUGGAUCUGGCAUGGACAAGAAAGAAGAAAACAUUGUUGGUAGCUGUGAGUUGAAUGUAUCUCUGCACUAGAGCGUCCUAGCAGUUUAGUUAACGCAGCCGCAAGAGCAGCAGGCAGCGGUGUCCUCAGGGACACGCCAUUAGUUGAAUUGGUAUCCACCACUAUGACAACGGCCUUCUCUUAGAUUGCUACAACGGCAUCUCUCUCUCGACCCCCUUUCUCCACUCAACUUGCUUACACCGCUGCAGCCUCUUGGUGCUUCUCCCCGCUGCUUGUCCCACCUUGCCGCUCAGCGGCAGGCCACCC